rnacentral:lncRNA from 1 species
GGAAAAGAAAAUAUGUAAGAUGGGCAGGCAUCAUCCGAUCUGCACAGCUCAUGUUCUAGGUUCUGAAGUAAUUACAUUGUUGAACCAGAUCUUGCUGGGUGAGAGGGCAACUAACUGCAUGCAAAUCAGUGCUCACGUCCUUGGGAGGAAUGAUAGAGAAUUGUGCACCGUCUGUCCACUGAGACGCGGAUGAUAGAGAAUUGUGCACCGUCUCCCCACUGAGACGUGGAUAAUAGAGAAUUGUGCACCGUCUCCCCACUGAGACGUGGAUAAUAGAGAAUUGUGCACCGUCUCCCCACUGAGACGUGGAUAAUAGAGAAUUGUGCACCGUCUCCCCACUGAGACGUGGAUGAUAGAGAAUUGUGCACCGUCUCCCCACUGAGACGUGGAUAAUAGAGAAUUGUGCACCGUCUCCCCACUGAGACGUGGAUGAUAGAGAAUUGUGCACCGUCUCCCCACUGAGACGCGGAUGAUAGAGAACUGUGCACCGUCUCCCCACUGAGACGUGGAUAAUAGAGAAUUGUGCACCGUCUCUCCACUGAGACAUAUAUGAGUGGACUGCCUCUCCUGCGGAUGUGAGCUCGGCCUGGUACUCACACUGCUGUGUGCUAUGGACUUUGUUUGUCUCAGCCCAUGUUUUUACCGUUCCUCAAAAAGAUGAGCCCACCGGGCAUCACACUGCAAAAGUCUCCAUGCUUAGGCCU